UGGGGAAUAGCUCUGACACAGCUGUGUCUAAGCACCUCUCACCCAGCCAGAGGUAACGCAAAUCACAUGCGAGGAUGGCCUCCCACAGGAAACAAAUAUUUUUUGAAUAUCAUUAAAUCAGACUACACAAGGGCAAACUCAUGGAAAACUGCUAGCCAUGGUUUCUAAAUUUGUGUUUGGGACUUGUCUUUUUGUCUGGCUAUUCAUGUCCUGAUUCCUUUGUUGUUUCUUCUGCUGUGGGUCAAAAAUAAUCCAUUCAUGUGUUAUUUUCAAACCAACAAAAUUUUGAACGAAGGCUUGUUUACAGAGUAAAUGCAAGGGUUUCUUAAUGACCCAGAAAAUCUGCCUUCCUACUUGUUAAGAGUAAGCAGUAUAUGGAGAAAUGAAAUAAAUGAAAAUAAUGUCUUGAGUUAAAAUACCUCAUUUUGUAAUAGUGAAGCCAGAUUUAAAGUUAGGUAGUCAGUGUAGUUAGGUAAAUCGGGUCUAAUAUCGAGUAAGAUCUAAAAUGGAGGCCAUGCUGACAAUGAUUCCGGAAACACAGGACAACUCAUGGAAUGUUAAUGAAGUCCCGGAAAGGCCCUAGGCCAAAGUCCACCCCAAAGAAAUGUUAAUGGAACCCAGGAAACAGCCCCCAACAGAUUUGGAGAUAGCCCAUCCCAAAGAAGUGAUAAUGAAGUCCUUCCUGCCCAGAUUACUUGUUUGGCCCACCUGUGUCCCAAACCCUUCCCCCUACAUUCCAUCACCAAAACUAUAAAAAGGGGAGACAACUGCACUUCCAGGGAUUCCACCUCUUGGGUCCCCUUCUUCCUCCGGGAGAAGUCUUUUCUGCUGUCC
rnacentral:lncRNA from 1 species